UCCAAGGGCCUGGCCUUCACUUCCUCCGCUGGCUUGGCAGACCCAAGGCUCCGUUGGCAGGUGGCACCUGUGGCUCAAGAAUCACACUAGUGGAGGGUCCAGGCCCCUGAGCUACCUUUCCUGAACUUCCUUCGAGGGGGCACAGCACCAGACAGCAGAGUGGCCGGGAACAGCAGCCGGGCGACUUGCUCCCUCGUUGCAGCUGUGCUGUGAGGUGCCCACGGCACGCGUGGUGAGCCGGGCCUGGGCACGCUCACCCGCCCGUGAAACCUGGUGUGCCUCUCCUGGAGGGGAGAGGGAAGCCCGAGGCCUGAGACACGUUCCUGAGGGCGUCUGCACAUCUGCUGGCUGAGGCUUGCUGGGUCAGGAUGGGCUCUGACCCAGGACAGGACGUCCUCCCUGCAGGCCGCACACGGUGUCUAGGCCCGCCCAUGAGCUCUCAGCCCCUCAGCCCCUCAGCCCGCUGUGCUGUAAGGAAUCCUCUUGGCCCCGAGGACGAAGGCUCGGGUCCUUAAUUGCUCAAGGAGAUGAGACAUUUUCUGCUUGAAAAGAAAAGAGAGAAUAAACCCGGCCCUCCUCCACCCCAGCUCCCUGCCUGUGCCAGGUCUGCUGCUCCCGGCCCUCCCUUCCUCCCCAUGGUGGGGAGACAGAAAGGCCUUCUGAGGUGGUGGCCGCUCUUCUGCCUCCGUAUU
rnacentral:lncRNA from 1 species